rnacentral:rRNA from 1 species
UAGGGAAUCUUCGGCAAUGGGGGCAACCCUGACCGAGCAACGCCGCGUGAGUGAAGAAGGUUUUCGGAUCGUAAAGCUCUGUUGUAAGUCAAGAACGGGUGUGAGAGUGGAAAGUUCACACUGUGACGGUAGCUUACCAGAAAGGGACGGCUAACUACGUGCCAGCAGCCGCGGUAAUACGUAGGUCCCGAGCGUUGUCCGGAUUUAUUGGGCGUAAAGCGAGCGCAGGCGGUUUGAUAAGUCUGAAGUUAAAGGCUGUGGCUCAACCAUAGUUCGCUUUGGAAACUGUCAAACUUGAGUGCAGAAGGGGAGAGUGGAAUUCCAUGUGUAGCGGUGAAAUGCGUAGAUAUAUGGAGGAACACCGGUGGCGAAAGCGGCUCUCUGGUCUGUAACUGACGCUGAGGCUCGAAAGCGUGGGGAGCGGACAGGAUUAGAUACCCUGGUAGUCCACGCCGUAAACGAUGAGUGCUAGGUGUUGGAUCCUUUCCGGGAUUCAGUGCCGCAGCUAACGCAUUAAGCACUCCGCCUGGGGAGUACGACCGCAAGGUUGAAACUCAAAGUGAAUUGAC